rnacentral:rRNA from 1 species
AACGAACGCUGGCGGCAUGCCUAACACAUGCAAGUCGAACGAAGCCUUCGGGCUUAGUGGCGCACGGGUGCGUAACGCGUGGGAAUCUGCCCUUUGGUUCGGAAUAACAGUUGGAACCGACUGCUAAUACCGGAUGAUGACGAAAGUCCAAAGAUUUAUCGCCAGAGGAUAAGCCCGCGUAGGAUUAGCUAGUUGGUGUGGUAAAGGCGCACCAAGGCGACGAUCCUUAGCUGGUCUGAGAGGAUGAUCAGCCACACUGGGACUGAGACACGGCCCAGACUCCUACGGGAGGCAGCAGUGGGGAAUAUUGGACAAUGGGCGAAAGCCUGAUCCAGCAAUGCCGCGUGAGUGAUGAAGGCCCUAGGGUUGAAAAGCUCUUUUACCCGGGAUGAUAGUGACAGUACCGGGAGAAUAAGCCCCGGCUAACUCCGUGCCAGCAGCCGCGGUAA